CGUGUUCCUUACACAAUGCCUGGCACUUACCAGUUCAUUAAAGGGAGUGCUGGCGGUAGGGAGGUGGUCGGAACUUCAGGAGGAAGAGUACAUAGAUGUACAUGCAUAACACUGUAUUUUUUGUCUUGGAACUGAAAGAACAAGAAAAGGGGCAUGUCCUGGAGUCUCUGGCUCUGGGUGGGAGUAGCUGGGCUCUUGGCCCUAGCUUCUACAUCCACCGGCCUGAUGUGCUACCACUGCAGCAACUGCCGCCACGAGAGGGGCACAGCCCUGAUGUGCAACUAUGGAUAUGACGUCUGCACGAAAGUGGUCAUCGUAGGUCGAGUUGAGAAAUCAUGUGGAAAACAGCAGAUUUGUGGGUUUGGUCCUCACAGCCGUGGAACUAUCAGUUCAUGGAGCCACCUACAAAAACUCCUUAGUGAUGUAAAUACAGAUAUGUUAAGGCUGCCAGGAGGACUGUAUGACAGCAGCAUUAUGUGCUGUGCUUCAGAUUACUGCAACUCGGCCAAGGGGAAAAUGCCAACCUAUUCCUUGAUAAUUCUUCCAUUAGCAGUUUAUCUAAUGCACAAAUGAAUGGUUAAUUUCAUAUUUUCUGACUGCGAUGCAAAAAAAUUAUGACAUCACAACACGCAUUAAGAUUUGACGCAGAGUAUACUACAGAAUCAAAACUAACUUCACUACUGUUUAGCAAACUGAUGACCGCUAUCGUAGGUGAAACUUACAGAAAAUCCUGUCAACACAUUCUUCAUGAGGAACAGUGAUGUUGAGCAGAGGUAAUGUAUUUAAUGCAAACUUCACCCAAUUCAAAGCCGUAACAAUAAAGUACUGUUCGUACCAGUAUGUGGAAACCAAGGGAAAUCACAAAAACAAAGCUGGAUCAAAAUUAUUCAGCAAUUAAUCUCCGUCAAGCCAAAAAAUGAUACUGUCAGCUAGUUAGUAGGCUAAUAAAAUAUAACAAUUACAUCUGCUGUAAAAUCAGUCGUAUACUUUAUACGUAGCAACUAAAAAUUACAAAACUAAA